GCCCGGGUAGCUCAGUCGGCAGAGCAGCUCACUCGUAAUGAGCAGGUCAGGGGUUCGAAUCCCCUCUCGGGCUCCA
rnacentral:tRNA from 2 species